rnacentral:rRNA from 1 species
GAUCAUGGCUCAGGAUGAACGCUAGCUACAGGCUUAACACAUGCAAGUCGAGGGGCAGCAUGGACCCAGCUUUGCUGGGUUUGAUGGCGACCGGCGCACGGGUGAGUAACGCGUAUCCAACCUGCCCUUUACUCCGGGAUAGUCUCCUGAAAGGGAGUUUAAUACCGGAUGUGUUUGUCUUUCCGCAUGGGAGCGACAAAUAAAGAUUAAUUGGUAAAGGAUGGGGAUGCGUCCCAUUAGUGUUGGU